GAUGAACGCUAGCGAUAGGCCUAACACAUGCAAGUCGAGGGGCAUCACAUGAAGUAGCAAUACUUUCUGGUGGCGACCGGCGCACGGGUGAGUAACACGUAUGCAACCUGCCUUCAACAAGGGGAUAACCCGUUGAAAGACGGACUAAUACCCUAUAACACAGGGGUCCCGCAUGGGAAUAUUUGUUAAAGGACAACCGGUUGAAGAUGGGCAUGCGUUCCAUUAGCUAGUUGGCGGGGUAACGGCCCACCAAGGCAACGAUGGAUAGGGGAACUGAGAGGUUUAUCCCCCACACUGGUACUGAGACACGGACCAGACUCCUACGGGAGGCAGCAGUGAGGAAUAUUGGUCAAUGGACGCAAGUCUGAACCAGCCACGUCGCGUGAAGGAAGACGGCCCUACGGGUUGUAAACUUCUUUUAUACGGGGAAUAAAGUGCCCCACGCGUGGGGUUUUGCAUGUACCGUAUGAAU
rnacentral:rRNA from 1 species